GACGAACGCUGGCGGCGUGCUUAACACAUGCAAGUCGAGCGGUAAGGCCUUUCGGGGUACACGAGCGGCGAACGGGUGGGUAACACGUGGGUGAUCUGCCCUGCACUUCGGGAUAAGCCUGGGAAACUGGGUCUAAUACCGGAUAUGACCUCCUAUCGCAUGGUGGGUGGUGGAAAGAUUUAUCGGUGCAGGAUGGGCCCGCGGCCUAUCAGCUUGUUGGUGGGGUAAUGGCCUACCAAGGCGACGACGGGUAGCCGACCUGAGAGGGUGACCGGCCACACUGGGACUGAGACACGGCCCAGACUCCUACGGGAGGAAGCAGUGGGGAAUAUUGCACAAUGGGCGAAAGCCUGAUGCAGCGACGCCGCGUGAGGGAUGACGGCCUUCGGGUUGUAAACCUCUUUCAGCAGGGACGAAGCGCAAGUGACGGUACCUGCAGAAGAAGCACCGGCUAACUACGUG
rnacentral:rRNA from 1 species